AGGCGCGGAGCCAGCACCCGGCGAGGGGGCGCGGCCGCGCGUGCUGGCUCCGCCGGAAUCUUCAGUGGCCACAGGGUUGGCAGCAAGCUCCUGCGCGCAGCGAUUGUAACCGGAGGAAGUGGAGAAGACAACCAGAUUUUCCAUUUUUCCUUUGGGCUAAAGUAACCGAAAAUUGGGCCUAUUUUUUCAAAAAAAAAAAUUAGGCCCAAAUGUGGAUAGUGGAUCCAUUCAAACGGUCCAUGGAUAUGGCUUUAAUUGGUAUUUCUCUCAAACC
rnacentral:lncRNA from 1 species